CUCACAGAGGCCCACAAGAAUGGAGGGCUCCUGGGUCACUGCUCCCUCAUAGACUGGGAUGGCCACCAGCUUUUCUGAACACUUUUCCUGAGGCCCUCGGCCAUUAUCCUUGGCCACAGAACCCGCCACAGCUGCUCCCAGCCUCCUCCAAUGAGAACACUAAUUAGAACUGAGAGAACGGUUCUGAUUGGGCGGGACCAGCAGAGAGGACAGAGAGAGUAGUUCUAACUGGACACCCUUAGUUGCAACCGGGGUGUCAGGAGAUGAGUGAGUCAGAGGGCGCCGGCUGUUUGUUUGCCUCAGUGGGAGAAGGAAAGGGUCAACAGAUGCAAAGAGGACUUCCUCCUUAACAAGCUGUGGCGGCAACCCUUUUUUCUUCUUCAGUGCAGCCAUUCAAGUGCAACCUACAGACCCAAGAAGGCCUCUCUCAGGAGACACAAUGAGACACUUGAGGCAUCACUAAAAAGGAGGUUAAAUGGAACAACUUUUCACUCCAGGUAUCUGCGGUGAAAGGGACACUCCACCUGCCACUCACAUUUCAGGUGGUUGUCACAUGACUCCUGGAGCGGCAUCAGCGACUCCCCUUCAAAUACACAACCCACCAAUAAACAUAAUGGGCCUUGGCAGGACAGAGCUGGCUGCAUCGUUGUGGGUCAAAGACAGGGCAGAUACCACAGAGAAGAGAACAAAGCAGCCUUUUGCAUGGCAGGGCUCUAAGCUACCGAGCACAGAGACAGCGUGGAAAUAAGGACAGGAGGUAAUCUGUAACCCCGUGGUUUCAAAAACGGCUUGAGCUUCAUUCAGAGACUCAGGACUGGCUGCUUCUCUUGCAUAGGUAGCUGAACAAUCACAAAAAGGCACCUGUGGACACCAGAAAAAGCUCACCCGACGUACAAUGGACAUUGGCACAUGCAAUCUACAAAGAAGGAUCUAGGCCCACAAGAGCAAAACUGACCCCUCAGCUAUAUCUCCUAACGCAGCCUUCGCCAGCUUGCUGCCCUCCAGAUCUUUUGGAAUCACAACCCCCACCAGCCCCAUCCAGCAUGACCCAUGGCGAUGAGAGCGAUAAUCCAAAACAUCUGGACGGCUGACCAAACGCUAUUCAGGCGUCAGACGAAAGAGGAGAAGCCUGUCACUGGAGUCCGUGAGCCUGAAGCAGGCUGUCCUGUCGGGGUGUACACCCCUCCUGAGCUCUGUGUCGUGAUGACAGUCUGGAAGUGUGGCCGAUGGAAACGCUUUGCUUUAGGCGACUAGCAUGUUCACAGACAAUGAGUCCGAGAAACUCACCUGUAUCAUAAAGACCUGAGGGAAAACGGUUACAUCCAGCGAUACAGCCCCAGAAAUGAUGGACCAGAACGGAUGGGCAGAAGGCAGACUGGGAGCUGCAGACCUCUGGGUGAUUUGCAAUAAGAUCAGCAAAAGUUUCCAACUCACAAUUGUCUAACAAUAGCAACAACAGAAUGUUUCCCUACCUGCCUAAAUGACGCUGCGGAAAUGAAGAAAGCAUGCCAGGAGAGGCUUUUGUACAAAAGAACGGUGAGCUUAGUUCAAUUUCUGGUACUGAAAACCAAUUCCUCAACGUGGACUGUGCUCAGUGGCACCCCCGUUCCUUGACAGUAUUCUCACUUUAUGCCUUUUGCGCCUGGCUCUGGCUGAUAGGUCUUGGGAUUCCAGUAAAAACAAAGUAGAUGCUGCACACCAGACGUCUACUCACCCCUGAACUAGAAGCCCUACUCCCCCCCCUCCAUUAUUGCUGGGACUUUCCUCCAGGAUAGCAACUGCAACAAACUGUCUGUUUUACCAUCCCAAACGGUCCCUCCAACCACAGGGCUAUAAACUCACUUCUGAUUCUGAGGCAUCCAAGGGUUUCUCGUUGAGGGUGACGCUUUCUGUCAGCACUGCUCCAUUAUACUUGCUACAGAUGUCCUCAUCUGAAUAGUGCAAUCCGCCGGGGCUUGGGCGAGGAGGAGAUCUGGAUACAUCAAAGAAAAUAAAGUUAGGGGUGUUGCAAAUUUCCCCUCUAUCAAACAUAACACAUGUACUGUAAUCGCUUUCUUUCUCUGUGUGUGUGUUGCAAAAAACUCUGGGACAUUUUCUGCAGCUCAUUUUUAAAAAUAAAGUAUUUGUGAAUCUCAGCUACACACACACACAUUUAAAAACAGUUUUGCAGGAAGAAAUGUAAAAAAUAAUAAAAAAAUAUUAAAGGACCGCAGGUAAAAGAGGCAAGUAAAAAGUAUAUGUAAUCCGGAUGUGUUGUUACAUAACCAAGUUUUUCAAGUACUGCUGCACAACCACACAAACUUGUAAGAAGAGCGAUCCCUGUCUGAUCUCAGUAUUAGGAUGGUCAACCAGUUAGGUUGACUGACCCACAGAGCAGACCCACUGAGUUCUGAAUUCUGUUGUGGGACUUGGAAGCCUGCAGCACCUGGGUCCAACAUGCUAUUGUGAGUCAUGCUGUUACGGACCUUGCCUUUUUUCCUUCAGACUUAGCAUGGCCUAAGAGGCACUGGCAUUUCAUUUGGCUGCUCCAAGCACCUGGAGCUGAGGGUUAUACCUACCACGGGGGCAGAAACUGGCUUGCCCAGGCUAAGGGUGGAGAAUUACUAUUAUUUUGAUUUCUUACUCGCCCUUUGCCAUAAGGCCCCAGGGUGGGUUACAACCAUUUGUGUCUACGUGAGGGAAACAAUUUUGGUUGCUUUAGGAUUUCAGAGUGCUGGACUGAUGUUGAAUUGGGACCAACAGAGUUUGUGCUAGCUUCUAUACCGCUAAUAUUUGCUUAGCCUAAAACAUUGGUAAGUAAUGGACUGUUAUGAAGACACCAUAUGCCACUCAGGUGCUCUUUCAUCUCAAGAUAAACUUGCUCUGUACAGCCUGUGCUGAACUUCUCAUCACUCAGAAAACAGGAGUAUCUGAUGAUCCUGAGGAGAACACUGAAUAUUGCAGUGGGCCCUCCCACUUCCAACGCCACCCAAAGUUGACCCAAGAGGUUGGGGGCUCUAUCCGUGGGGGUUCGAACUCUGUGCAUAUUUCAGAAGAGUUAUGUUUAUUUUUGCUGAUUUGUGGGCUCAGGGCUAAACUGACAAAGUGUGUGGGCGGGGUUGGAGGGUUUAGUGAGUUUGUUUUUACCUAUUAUUGUUUCGUUGCAAAAGGAUGUUUUAGGUGUGUGUUUAAAUGCCUGGGAUGGGUUUGGAACUGGAAUAAAUCAGGAUAGAAAAUGCAUUCCCUGAUGCCCACAGCCCUUCUCCAGAGUGCCUGCGCUUGGAGCGAUGCUGCAGGCUGCUUGUCCAAACAACACAAGGCUGAGGCUGCCUUACCUUGACCCAUUCUUCUUGGAGAAAGUGUUUUUGACAUUGAGGUGUCGGCUGUUGAGCUCAAGGGCUGUAAACCCCCCAUUAUCCAGAGUGACAGACUCUUCCACAUUGGAAAUACUUUUUCCUGGGGACAAACGGCGACAGAAUGAGCGCAGACAAAGUUCCUGCCCUGGCUCUGUGUGAAGACAGAGAGAGAACUGCCAUUUCUCUUGACUUUUAACAAGGUCUUUGCUAUGAAGAUAAGACAAGUUUGUCACAGGGAUUUGCUACCCCUCCCUGAUCAUCACAGAACAACCAAAGAAGCAAGUUUUGAACCAUGUUUUUACAAAGAAUAUCUGCAAUGUCCUAUUUUAUUAGGACAACUUCAGUAGUUUACAUUUUCUUCUUUUAUAAGAUUGUUUUUGGCGGGGUGAUGGCCAGUGUGGGGUAAGCAAAGUUUCUAACGAAGUAUAGAUUUCACCAUCAGGCAUAGAUGUCGGGAACAAAAUUUAGAGCAAACAGGAUUAGGUGCUUCCAGGCUUAGUGGCUCAUCUCAUCUGCGUACCCUGACAACACAAGACAUGCUUUCAAGUUAUAAAGCCCUGAAUCUUACUCAAGUUAUCUUGACAGUAAAGCUCCAUUGAUUUCAAUGGGCUUUAUUCCCAAGGAAGUAUGUUUAGGAUUACAGCUUUGCAGCCUGCUCCUGUCAACGUUCACUGAGAAACAACUUGUGACUGAAUUCAAUGGUAUUAAGAUCUGGUCUACAUGCCACAGAAUGAGCCAGGAAAGACUUAAUAGUAUCCUGAGGUAGGAGAAUGAACCACGCCAUUUCAGAACACCAUUUUCUUGAAUGUUGCUUUGCAUAAACUCCUUGUAAGUAGGAGAAUUGGAACGUGGGCUAUAACUUUUCUCCGUAGUGUGUUCAUGGUUUGUUUGUUUGUUUACUUGGCGGGAAUAUUUUAAAAGGUAUUCCACAUUUGCAGCUUGACGUGGUGCUGUCCGUUGCCCUGUCUAGGAUGCCACGUCUCAUUCUGCCUCUCUUCCUAACAAGCGUACACAGGACUACAGCCUAACAGCACGACUCUAUGGCAGUUACUUCUGCACAAGUAAAGCUAUUGGGCAUCCCUGUACAACUGGCAACCCAUCAAGAUGAAUGUGGCCCACCUGCCAAGGGCUCCACUAUGCACCCACGCCACUCUGAGUUUGCAGUCCAGGACAGGCAGCAAAAGCAGGAGGCUUACUUCACCCUUGGCUCACUGCCAUACAUGGUGGGCCUUUGACUUAGUGGAUCACAUCUUGUCCAGGUCUGCCACAGGGUUUCCUGCAUUAACACUGUGUUUAUUGAUCUGUUACAGUUAUAUUUCACCUUUUACCCAAGGGACCCACCCCCCUCACCAUUUUAUACUCUGUGAGACAGGUUAGGCUGAGAUAUGGCGCCUGGCCCAGUGGGCUUCCUGGCUACAUGGGAAUGUGAGCCUGGGUCUUCCCAGCCCUAACCCAACGCUCUAGUCACAUCGCCACGCUGGCUCUCCAUGCCCCUGUCGGGUGCCUUGCAGCUACAGGGACUUGCUUGGGGCUUUUGCUUGCUGCCUCUGCUGCGUAUCCCCAAAGGCCUGGUGUGUGUCUCAGCUGACUGAAGGAGCAUCCGCCCUCCCACCCUUGGCCUGCCAUAAAUCUCCUCUGCUGCAGGCAGGUGUUUUAGCCUGAAGGAAGGCUGGGCAAACCGUGCAGGUCAGAUCUGCCAUUUCAUUUGCGUCCUCUAGAGGGAGAGCAUGAGGAAGGAGAUGGCUUUUCCUAUGCCAGCUGCAUAGGAAUCUAUAACAGCAUUAGCUCAGUAAAAGGAGCUCAUUUCAACAUUUCCAAUCCCAGGGGAAUAAAACCUGAUUUACUGACACUUGUUAGAAGCAAAUUUAUACUGAAGCACAGAGGGAAUGUAUAAAUCCUUUAUUUGACCAUUAAAUUGCUGUUUUUUUUAAAAAAAGGUGGCUUUCUCUAAUGGGUCUGUAACACACACACCCCUGCCUUAUCCAAAUUCUUCUGUUAACAGUGCAGCAUCACAGAGGCCAGGGCCCACUGCCGCAUCCUUCACCUGCUCACUAGAUGUUCUAGGAAAACCCUGGCUCUUGGCAUUGAAGAAUUAAAGUGCCUGCCACAGAUACAGGCAGGUUAUUGGAGCAGACCACUC